GAUGAACGCUGGCGGCGUGCCUAAUACAUGCAAGUCGAGCGAACGGACGAGAAGCUUGCUUCUCUGAUGUUAGCGGCGGACGGGUGAGUAACACGUGGAUAACCUACCUAUAAGACUGGGAUAACUUCGGGAAACCGGAGCUAAUACCGGAUGAUAUUUUGAACCGCAUGGUUCAAAAGUGAAAGACGGUCUUGCUGUCACUUAUAGAUGGAUCCGCGCUGCAUUAGCUAGUUGGUAAGGUAACGGCUUACCAGGCAACGAUGCAUAGCCGACCUGAGAGGGUGAUCGGCCACACUGGAACUGAGACACGGUCCAGACUCCUACGGGAGGCAGCAGUAGGGAAUCUUCCGCAAUGGGCGAAAGCCUGACGGAGCAACGCCGCGUGAGUGAUGAAGGUCUUCGGAUCGUAAAACUCUGUUAUUAGGGAAGAACAUAUGUGUAAGUAACUGUGCACAUCUUGACGGUACCUAAUCAGAAAGCCACGGCUAACUACGUG
rnacentral:rRNA from 1 species